CAUCACUGUUCUAUGCAUUUUGAACUGCAUAUUAUGUGCGCUGCAAACUGCUAGCAAGGCCGCUGCUGAUUUUUGAAGGGUUAGCGAGUUUCUUGCAGCCGCCUCGGGGUGCAAUGAGGGGUGUUGGGAGGGGGCUACGUCAAGUUGGGUUGGGGGAGUUAGAUUUACUCGACACGCAGCGGAGGAUGUGAGGAGGAUUCCAACCCUGGCCCUGGCAGUCGUGGCCAGCCAGGCCUUCUAACCACUGCUCCACAAAGGCAUAUUAGAUCACAUGGGUGUUGAUGCUGGUAGGCUAACACUGUGAUACUCAUGCCAUACCUUCCCCAGGUACAGCUGUUCAUCAACCAUCUACACAGGAAGGAUGAACAGCUGUGUGAGGCCUUCUAGCCACUGCUCCAUAUUAGAUCACGUGGGUGUUGAUGCUGGUAGGCUAACACUGUGAUACUCAUGCCAUACCAUUCUUUCAUUGACACAGGCUUUACAUAAACGAGACAACACAGACAUUUGAAAAGACAUAGAGUAUGAUCUGACAAGCAUCCUCUUCUUUUCUUUUGAUCAUUCCUUUCCUCCUCUUCCUUCAUUCUUUCCUCUUCUGUGUCUUUCUCCUCCUCCUCCUCCUCCUCUUCUUUCUCCUCUCAUUUUCUUUCUUGUCCCAGAUCCUUUGUUAUCCUUCAUUAUUUCUUCCUCCUCCUCCUCCUCUUCUUUCUCCUCUCAUUUUCUUUCUUGUCCCAGGUCCUUCAUUAUUUCUUCCUCCUCCUCCUCCUCUUCUUUCUCCUCUCAUUUUCUUUCUUGUCCCAGGUCCUUCAUUAUUUCUUCCUCCUCCUCCUCCUCUUCUUUCUCCUCUCAUUUUCUUUCUUGUCCCAGAUCCUUCGUUAUCUUUCAUUAUUUUUUCCUCCUCCUCCUCCUCUUCUUUCUCCUCUCAUUUUCUUUCUUGUCCCAGAUCCUUCGUUAUCUUUCAUUAUUUUUUCCUCCUCCUCCUCCUCUUCUUUCUCCUCUCAUUUUCUUUCUUCCUCUUCCUCCUCCUCCUCCUCUUCUUUCUCCUCUCAUUUUCUUUCUUGUCCCAGAUCCUUCAUUAUCCUUCAUUAUUUUUUCCUCCUCCUCCUCCUCUUCUUUCUCCUCUCAUUUUCUUUCUUCCUCUUCCUCCUCCUCCUCCUCCUCAUUCAUUCCCUCGACCUCCAUAUUUCUCACUUCUGCCUCCUUCCUUCUCCUUUACCUCCUCCUCCUCCUCUUCUUCUCCUCCUCAUCUUCGUUCCUUCCGCUUCUUCACGAACCUCUCUCUGAGCCUGACACUAAAUCUUCUUCUUCCUCCUCCUCCUCCUCCCUAACCCCCCCCCCGGCUUCCUGCCGUUCAUAACAAUACCGGGAAUGAAUGAGAGGGAGGAGGAGGAGGAGGAGGAGGAGGAGGAAAAGGUGUGGAGGAAAAUGAAGAUGAAGUGGAGAGGAUGUGAAAGAAGGAGGAAGAGGAGGAGGAGGAGGAAAGAAAGAAGAAAAGGGAAACACAAGAAAUAAAAAAAGAAGGGAAAUAAAUAACACAAAACAUGAAGAAAACCAAAAAAAUAAAAGGAAGAAAAAGAAAAAAAAAUAGAAAAAAGAAAAGAAAAGAAAAAUAUAAUACGAAAAUCAGAGACGGCUACAAGGAAACGGGAUAAAGGGAAAACACACACACACACACACACACACACACACGAAAGGCUUCCCUAAUAUGGUUGAGGGCAGAAUGUGUUGAUGGGAAAGAGAAGGGAAGGACACACACACACACACACACACACACACACGAAAGGCUUCCCUAAUAUGGUUGAGGGCAGAAUGUGUUGAUGGGAAAGAGAAGGGAAGGAAAGGAAGAGGAAGAGGAGGAGGAGGAAAGAAUAGGAGGAGGAAGAAGGAACUGUUGAUAAAGGAAGAUGGAUAGAUGGAAUGAUUGAAGAAAUAGGAAGGAGAAAAAGUAAUAGUUGAUUGAUGGAGAUAGAUGGAUAGAUAGAUAAAUAGUAGAUAGUAUUGACAAGAAGAGGGGAGGAGGAAGACAUGGAGGAGGAGGAAGAAAAGAAUAAGAAGGAGGAAGAGGAAGAGAAGAGAAGAGAAACUUGUAAAAUGUGUUAUUAUUAUUAUUAUUAUUAUUACUAUUACUACUAUUAUUAUUAUUAUGGAAUAUAUGAAAAAUGGGAGGAAUAGUGCAAGAGAGAGAGAGAGAGAGAGAGAGAGAGAGAGAGAGAGAGAGAGAGAGAGAGAGAGAGAGAGUUAUGUAUACGACUUUAAUAAUCUUAAGCAAGUGAAUUCCUCCUUGUACCUCAUGUCCUCCUCCUCCUCCUCCUCUUUUCUGUAUUGUAUGUCUUAAUGAGGCAGAACUUACUUCACGCUUCUUAAACUUGAGGAGGAGAGAAGGAGGAGGA